rnacentral:rRNA from 1 species
UUUGUCUAUUAAUUGUAGACCUGUAUGAAAGGCAAAAUGAGAGCCCGACUGUCUCUUAUAACAAAUCAAUUAAACUGAUCUCCCAGUACAAAAGCUGGAAUACCCCCAUAAGACCAGAAGACCCUGUGAAGCUUUAACUAACCUAUUAAACCCCUUAAUAAUUAGUUUCGGUUGGGGCGACCUCGGAACAAAAAAGAACUUCCAAACAACAUGACUCACCAUGUACCAAGGCAAACAAGCCACAAUUAGACCCAGAAUAUCUGAUUAAUGAACCAAGUUACUCCAGGGAUAACAGCGCUAUCUUCUUCAAGAGCCCAUAUCAAAAAGAAGGUUUACGACCUCGAUGUUGGAUCAGGACAUCCUAGUAAUGCAACAGCUACUAAGGGUUCGUUUGUUCAACGAUUAACAGU